rnacentral:rRNA from 1 species
CCUACGGGUGGCAGCAGUAGGGAAUCUUCCACAAUGGGCGAAAGCCUGAUGGAGCAACGCCGCGUGGGUGAAGAAGGUCUUCGGAUCGUAAAACCCUGUUGUUAGAGAAGAAAGUGCGUGAGAGUAACUGUUCACGUUUCGACGGUAUCUAACCAGAAAGCCACGGCUAACUACGUGCAAGCAGCCGCGGUAAUACGUAGGUGGCAAGCGUUAUCCGGAUUUAUUGGGCGUAAAGGGAACGCAGGCAGUCUUUUAAGUCUGAUGUGAAAGCCUUCGGCUUAACCGGAGGAGUGCAUUGGAAACUGGGGGACUUGAGUGCAGAAGAGGAGAGUGGAACUCCAUGUGUAGCGGUGAAAUGCGUAGAUAUAAGGAAGAACACCAGUGGCGAAAGCGGCUCUCUGGGCUGUAACUGACGCUGAGGUUCGAAAGCGUGGGUAGCAAACAGGAUUAGAUACCCCUGUAGUC